rnacentral:rRNA from 1 species
UACGGAGGGGGCAAGCGUUAUCCGGAUUCACUGGGUUUAAAGGGUGCGUAGGUGGUUUGGUAAGUCAGUGGUGAAAUCUCCGUGCUUAACAUGGAAACUGCCAUUGAUACUACUGAUCUUGAAUUUUCUGGAGGUAAGCGGAAUAUGUCAUGUAGCGGUGAAAUGCUUAGAUAUGACAUAGAACACCAAUUGCGAAGGCAGCUUGCUACAGGGAUAUUGACACUGAGGCACGAAAGCGUGGGGAUCAAACAGG